rnacentral:rRNA from 1 species
GUCUACGGCCAUGCUACCCUGAACAAGCCCGACCCCGUCUGAUCUCGGAAGCUAAGCAGGGUCGGGCCUGGUUAGUACUUGGAUGGGAGACCACCUAGGAAGACCAGGAGCUGUAGGUG